rnacentral:rRNA from 1 species
GCAGUCGAGCGAAUGAUUGGGAGCUUGCUCCCAUGAUUUAGCGGCGGACGGGUGAGUAACACGUGGGCAACCUACCUGUAAGACUGGGAUAACUUCGGGAAACCGGAGCUAAUACCGGAUAAUUUCUUUUCUCGCAUGAGAAGAGAUGGAAAGACGGUUUCGGCUGUCACUUACAGAUGGGCCCGCGGCGCAUUAGCUAGUUGGUGAGGUAACGGCUCACCAAGGCCACGAUGCGUAGCCGACCUGAGAGGGUGAUCGGCCACACUGGGACUGAGACACGGCCCAGACUCCUACGGGAGGCAGCAGUAGGGAAUCUUCCGCAAUGGACGAAAGUCUGACGGAGCAACGCCGCGUGAGCGAAGAAGGCCUUCGGGUCGUAAAGCUCUGUUGUUAGGGAAGAACAAGUACCAGAGUAACUGCUGGUACCUUGACGGUACCUAACCAGAAAGCCACGGCUAACUACGUGCCAGCAGCCGCGGUAAUACGUAGGUGGCAAGCGUUGUCCGGAAUUAUUGGGCGUAAAGCGCGCGCAGGUGGUUCCUUAAGUCUGAUGUGAAAGCCCACGGCUCAACCGUGGAGGGUCAUUGGAAACUGGGGAACUUGAGUGCAGAAGAGGAAAGUGGAAUUCCACGUGUAGCGGUGAAAUGCGUAGAGAUGUGGAGGAAC